AUUGAACGCUGGCGGCAUGCUUUACACAUGCAAGUCGAGCGGCAGCGCGGGGGCAACCCUGGCGGCGAGCGGCGAACGGGUGAGUAAUGCAUCGGAACGUACCCUGGAGUGGGGGAUAACGCCGCGAAAGCGGCGCUAAUACCGCAUAUGCUCUGAGGAGGAAAGUGGGGGACCUGCAAGGGCCUCACGCUCUGGGAGCGGCCGAUGUCCGAUUAGCUAGUUGGUGGGGUAAAGGCUUACCAAGGCGACGAUCGGUAGCUGGUCUGAGAGGAUGAUCAGCCACACUGGGACUGAGACACGGCCCAGACUCCUACGGGAGGCAGCAGUGGGGAAUUUUGGACAAUGGGGGCAACCCUGAUCCAGCCAUGCCGCGUGAGUGAAGAAGGCC
rnacentral:rRNA from 1 species